CCCUUAGAUGUUCUGGGCGGCCCGCGCACUACAUUGGCACUGUCAGCAAGGGUCUGAAACUAAAACUUUUGGGUAUUCUGAGAACUGGUGUCGUGACUGGGAUUGACCCUUGCAAUUAUUGGUUAUGAACGAGGAAUUCCUUGUAAUCGCGGUUUAUCAGCCCGCGUUGAAUGCGUCCCUGCCCUUUGUACACACCGCCCGUCGCUCCUACCGAUGAAUCGUCCGGUGAAGUUCAUGGAGUAGUGGUUGUUCCAUCCGCUGUCGAAGUGAAAUAAACCUCAUGAUUUAGAGGAAGGGGAANUCGUANCA
rnacentral:rRNA from 1 species